UCCAAUACCAACAUUAGUGUGCGAUGGAAGGACGCUUAGGGCUAAGGGGGCUAGCGGAUGGAAGUGCUAGUCUAAGGUCGUAGGAGGUUAUACAGGCAAAUCCGUAUAACAAUACUCCGAGAACUGAAAGGCUUUUUGAAGUCUUCGGAUGGAUAGAAGAACCCCUGAUGCCGUCGAGCCAAGAAAAGUUUCUAAGUUUAGCUAAUGUUGCCCGUACCGUAAACCGACACAGGUGGGUGGGAUGAGUAUUCUAAGGCGCGUGGAAGAACUCUCUUUAAGGAACUCUGCAAAAUAGCACCGUAUCUUCGGUAUAAGGUGUGGUUAGCUUUGUAUUAGGAUUUACUCCGAAAGCAAGGAAACUUACAACAAAGAGUCCCUCCCGACUGUUUACCAAAAACACAGCACUCUGCUAACUCGUAAGAGGAUGUAUAGGGUGUGACGCCUGCCCGGUGCUCGAAGGUUAAUUGAUGGGGUUAGCAUUAGCGAAGCUCUUGAUCGAAGCCCGAGUAAACGGCGGCCGUAACUAUAACGGUCCUAAGGUAGCGAAAUUCCUUGUCGGUUAAAUACCGACCUGCAUGAAUGGCGUAACGAGAUGGGAGCUGUCUCAAAGAGGGAUCCAGUGAAAUUGUAGUGGAGGUGAAAAUUCCUCCUACCCGCGGCAAGACGGAGAGACCCCGUGGACCUU
rnacentral:rRNA from 1 species